rnacentral:siRNA from 1 species
AAAUAAGGUUUCAAUUAACAUUGU